UACGGGUAGCGCAAGUGUUAUUCCUCUUGAUUGGGCGUAAAGCGCACGUAGGCGGAUCGAUCAGUCAGGGGUGAAAUCCCAGGGCUCAACCCUGGAACUGCCUUUGAUACUGUCGAUCUGGAGUAUGGAAGAGGUGAGUGGAAUUCCGAGUGUAGAGGUGAAAAUUCGUAGAUAUUCGGAGGAACACCAGUGGCGAAGGCGGCUCACUGGCUCGAUACUGACGCUGAGGUGCGAAAGCGUGGGGAGCAAACAGG
rnacentral:rRNA from 1 species